rnacentral:rRNA from 1 species
GACAGAGGGUGCAAACGUUGCUCGGAAUUACUGGGCGUAAAGCGCGUGUAGGUGGAUUGGUGUGUCAGAUGUGAAAGCCCGGAGCUCAACUCCGGAACUGCCAUUGAAACUGUUGGACUUGAGUAUGAGAGAGGUGAGUGGAAUUCCCAGUGUAGAGGUGAAAUUCGUAGAUAUCGAGAGGAACACCGGUGGCGAAGGCGGCGAUCUGGACGAUGACUGACGCUGAGACGCGAAAGCGUGGGGAGCAAACAGG